UACGUAGGGGGCAAGCGUUGACCGGAUUUAUUGGGCGUAAAGAGCGCGUAGGCGGCCUGACAGGUCUGCUGUGAAAACUCGAGGCUCAACCUCGAGAUGUCGGCGGAAACCGUCUGGCUAGAGUCCGGAAGAGGAGAGUGGAAUUCCUGGUGUAGCGGUGAAAUGCGCAGAUAUCAGGAAGAACACCUAUGGCGAAGGCAGCUCUCUGGGACGGUACUGACGCUGAGACGCGAAAGCGUGGGGAGCGAACAGG
rnacentral:rRNA from 1 species